UACGGAGGGUGCGAGCGUUAAUCGGAAUUACUGGGCGUAAAGCGCAUGCAGGCGGCGCGUUAAGCCAGAUGUGAAAGCCCGGGGCUCAACCUCGGAAUCGCAUUUGGUACUGGCAGGCUAGAGUCUUGUAGAGGGGGGUAGAAUUCCAGGUGUAGCGGUGAAAUGCGUAGAGAUCAGGAGGAAUACCGGUGGCGAAGGCGGCUCCCUGGACAAAGACCGACGCUCAGGUGCGAAAGCGUGGGGAGCAAACAGG
rnacentral:misc_RNA from 1 species